rnacentral:rRNA from 1 species
AUUGAACGCUGGCGGCAUGCCUUACACAUGCAAGUCGAACGGUAACGGGCCUUCGGGUGCCGACGAGUGGCGAACGGGUGAGUAAUGUAUCGGAACGUACCUUUCAGUGGGGGAUAACGUAGCGAAAGUUACGCUAAUACCGCAUAUUCUGUGAGCAGGAAAGCAGGGGAUCGCAAGACCUUGCGCUGAUUGAGCGGCCGAUAUCAGAUUAGCUAGUUGGUGAGGUAAAGGCUCACCAAGGCGACGAUCUGUAGCGGGUCUGAGAGGAUGAUCCGCCACACUGGAAUUGAGACACGGUCCAGACUCCUACGGGAGGCAGCAGUGGGGAAUUUUGGACAAUGGGGGCAACCCUGAUCCAGCCAUGCCGCGUGAGUGAAGAAGGCCUUCGGGUUGUAAAGCUCUUUCGGCCGGGAAGAAAUCGUAUGGGUUAAUACCCUGUGCGGAUGACGGUACCGGCAUAAGAAGCACCGGCUAACUACGUG